GUCUGCUUUGCCCGAGUCCCGAAAGUGCUUCUCUUUCUUCUCCGAACUGUUGCAGCCCCUGCUUUCCAGGGGAGAUGCAGCAGGCACCAUCCGGAAUCCGCGAGCGACCGAAGCCGUCGAAGUUGGGCCCUGAGUCCAUGAUUAAAGCCGUGAUUCUAACCUCUCCCUCUGGAAAAGGCCGACCCUCUCAAAGAGAACAUCAUUUGAAAUGCAUGAAAACCGGGCCUCACAAGAGAGGAAGAUAAGUCUUGUUUGCAUGCCCCUGUUCCGGAUUCCUCUCUUUCCUCUGAGAGAUGUGUCAAAGCCCAGUUUCCCAAGGCCGGCCUUUUGGGCUAACACCGCUCUGCCGCUCUUGGUGAUGAGGAGAAUUCACCAAGCAUGCGAUAAAUCCCAUUAACCUCCCAAGGCAGUGCCCGGGUUUAAGAGAAAGCGCUAAGCAGCAGGUUAAAAAGAUGCUCUCGCCGCAUAGCUCUUUCUGACCAUUUUCUUUUUUUCAGCAGGAGAUCGUACUUGAUCGCAUGAAUCCUGGAGUUGGCGGGUGGAUCUCGGAUAACGCUCGGCUCAUGGGGAGAACUGGACGGACGGUGGCUUUGACUCAAGAUCUUUCUGAGAGGCCGAUGAUUUUUCUCAGAACUCCAAAAUUCCAUCACUUUGAAGAUUAACCUGGGCGUCGCUUACUGUUGUGGGCGGAAACUGUUUCCCCUGCCGCCUUGAAGCCAGGUGAUCAAAUUGAAGGGAGAUAGAGGUCGUCAAUGGCCUCACUUAAUUUCCUGAGCUCCAUACGCCUUCCAUUGACUGUCUCAAUACACAGGAUGAUGGUGAAAGUAGCUGUAAUUGUGAAGAGAGAGAACAUCAUUAAGGAAUAACAAAUGAGAAUGUGGGGCUCCCGUCCAGUGCUCGGCGCUAUGAAACCUAAUUAGAACCCGAAGAUAAUGAUGGAGCACUCCACCGUAUUUGCAUGGAACACCAGCCCAUAUAAGGCUGUGACAUCACGCGGGAUCCUCUCCCAGUUGAUUGUCCCUAGGCCCCGGUGGGGGUGGAUGAGGACCGGCACCUGUUGUGAGAAGUGACGAGAAGACGAGCUGAAUCAAAGCCCGAAACUCAAAGCUGUCCGCACCCGCCCCCUUUUGUUCCCUCUUAAAUUUUUCCAGAUGAAUAUGAUCAUUAAUGUGAUUUGCCUAAUUAACACAUCGCCUGAAUGACAGCAAACAUGUAAGCAGGUUUCACAGAGCAAACUGUGCCUGAUUAAAGCCACAGCCUAGCUAAUUAGAUGGAAAUUUCUUCAUUCAGUUCCCAUUUUAUUUGAAGUCUCUUGCCUCUCUCCUCUUUUCUCUGGU